CCUACGGGAGGCAGCAGUAGGGAAUUUUCGUCAAUGGGCGCAAGCCUGAACGAGCGAUGCCGCGUGAGUGAAGAAGGCCUUAGGGUCGUAAAGCUCUGUUGCGGGGGAAAAAAGGCAGCAUCAGGAAAUGGGUGCUGACUGAUGGUGCCCCGCCAGAAAGUCACGGCUAACUACGGGCCAGCAGCCGCGGUAAUACGUAGGUGGCGAGCGUUUUCCGGAAUGGUUGGGCGUAAAGGGUGCGCAGGCGGUCCUGCAAGUCUGGAGUGGAACGCAUGAGCUCAACUCAUGCAUGGCUUUGGAAACUGGAGGACUGGAGAGCAGGAGAGGGCGGUGGAACUCCAUGUGUAGCGGUAAAAUGCGUAGAUAUAUGGAAGAACACUAGUGGCGAAGGCGGCCGCCUGGCCUGUUGCUGACGCUGAGGCACGAAAGCGUGGGGAGCAAAUAGGAUUAGAUACCCUUGUAGUC
rnacentral:rRNA from 1 species